rnacentral:rRNA from 1 species
GACGAACGCUGGCGGCGUGCUUAACACAUGCAAGUCGAACGGAAAGGCCCUGCUUUUGUGGGGUGCUCGAGUGGCGAACGGGUGAGUAACACGUGAGUAACCUGCCCUUGACUUUGGGAUAACUUCUGGAAACUGGGGCUAAUACCGGAUAGGAGCUCCUGCUGCAUGGUGGGGGUUUGAAAGUUUCGGCGGUUGGGGAUGGACUCGCGGCUUAUCAGCUUGUUGGUGGGGUAGUGGCUUACCAAGGCUUUGACGGGUAGCCGGCCUGAGAGGGUGACCGGCCACAUUGGGACUGAGAUACGGCCCAGACUCCUACGGGAGGCAGCAGUGGGGAAUAUUGCACAAUGGGCGGAAGCCUGAUGCAGCAACGCCGCGUGCGGGAUGACGGCCUUCGGGUUGUAAACCGCUUUCGCCUGUGACGAAGCGUGAGUGACGGUAAUGGGUAAAGAAGCACCGGCUAACUACGUG